CUCAUUAUGCGAUAUAAGGUACUGAGACCGGUAGAUGCAGGGGCCCCCAAAUGACUGUUCGCCUGGAGCCCCCAAAGGGCUAAGUUCGCCACUGCCUAGAGCUUUGCUCUUGGAUCUAUGUGCUGAACUGGGUCCAGCAUUGGAAAGGGCAACACAUAGGAACCACGCUAUCCCCGUGCAGACGCAGGUCCUCACCACUUUGGGGUUCCUUGCAACCGGCUGUUUCCAACGGGAUUUGGCAGACAGAUCCGGUAUAUCACAGCCACCCCUCAGUGCCAUAAUGCCCAGCGUUUUGAAUGGCAUCAUAUAUAUGGGCAGUCGAUACAUAAGGUUUCCCUACACAGCGGAAGAACAGGCAGAGAUUAAAAGGCAAUUUGCAGCAAUGUCCGAUUUCCCAAACGUAAUCGGCGCAAUUGACUGCACUCGUAUUGCUAUACGGGCUCCAUCUGAAAAUGAGUUUGCUUACGUCAAUCGAAAGCACGUGCACACUAUUAAUGUUCAAGUUAUAUGUGAUGCCCAUAUGAACUUAACAAACAUAGCGGCACCGCACGUUGGCCUGGUGCAACACAUGAUUCCUUUAUUCUGACGCACAGUAGUGUAGGGAACAGACUACAGGCAGGCGCGGGGCGGCAUGGCUGGCUACUAGGUGACGGUGGAUACCCCCUGAGACGCUGGCUCCUCACCCCGGUUUUGAACGCGCACAGCGCAGAGGAACAUGGAUACAAUGAGGGCCAUGGCCGUGCUCGGUCAGUGGGGGAGCGCGCCAUCGGCCUCCUGAACUGCCGGUGGCGCGCUCUGGAUGCGGCGGGGGGGGAGGCUUUUAUACCAGCCUGCCAAAGUGUGCCGCAUUAUAAGGGCUUGCGGCGUGCUGCACAAUUUGUCCCAGAGGAACGGCGUCCCUCUCCCCCCCGACCUCCCUCCCCCCGAGCUUGACCCGGAGGCCCAGCCCCCUCCGAGGCAAGUCGGAUUUCAACAGGGUGCAAGAGUACGUGCGGAUGUCAUGCAGCGUUUAUGAAAUGAAGACGACUCAAGGUUCAUUUUUUCACAGUAUCUUUUAAUAUCGUGGCAAUUGCGGUGAUAACAUUUUGAAUCUGCCUCAUCUCCUCGGUCAAGUUAUUGACUGCAUCUAUCGUUUCCCUCUGUACCUGCAGAACUGCGUCUGUGAGCACCCGACCGGCGGACUGACGCGUGGUGCUGGGGGUGGGGGCAGCCGGAUGACCUGCGGCCGAGGGCCCCUCGCCGGCAUCAUCGCCGUCCUUCCCACCGACCGCUGACUCUGGAGGACGCACAAGCGAAAUAGCUUGCAGUACAUGAUCAAUCAUUUUAAAAAAUCUAUAAAAAAAAAAAGAAAUCAGCUUUACCUUGUUCUUCUGUGUUGUCAGUGUCUCCUUCCCUUUCGGACACGAUGCCACUCACGCUUGCGGUGCCAAUUAUGGAUGCAACUUUCGUGUCAAUUGGUGUUAGGUCAGGAGUACUGGGUCCCCCUCCAGUUGCAGUCACGCUCUGGCGGUGUCAGGACAGCCUCUGCUUUGCACCCACCUGUAAUUAACGAUCUUCACUAUACGAUUAGUAACAUUUGAGCAAUUAAUUAUCAACAUGUGCUGUGCGUGAGGAAAUAAAAAUAUGUACCUUUAUGUCAGACCACUUCUUUUUUAAUCCUGGGACUGUGCGCUCCGUGCCACUGACAGAGUUCACUGCCGCAGCAACAUGUUGCCACUCACACUGCUUUUUAAUGUUAGUGAUCCCAGAUCCCAGAACAAAAUUACUUUUCGGGCCUCCACCUCACCCACAAGUGUCUCCACUUCAACCUCCGUAAAAUUUCGCUUUUUGGCUUUUCUCUGUCAUGCCAUUAUUUCCGACAAGACAUAAUACCUGCAUCUGAGUCUGUUUUAUAUGCAGAUCGCAUUCAUGAGGUCGUUUGCAUUGACCAUUUAUGGUUAAAAAGGGGGGUGUAGAAGGCGGAACGUGAGGCUGAUUCAGCUGCGCACAAUUGUAGUCACUGUGAUUUAUAAAGCAAAGAUUGCGUACAGGUGUGCGUACGCA